CCUACGGGUGGCAGCAGUGAGGAAUAUUGGUCAAUGGGCGCAAGCCUGAACCAGCCAAGUCGCGUGAGGGAUGACGGUCCUAUGGAUUGUAAACCUCUUUUGUCGGGGAUCAAAGCGCGGUACGAGUAACGUGAAGGAGAGUACACGAAGAAAAAGCAUCGGCUAACUCCGUGCCAGCAGCCGCGGUAAUACGGAGGAUGCGAGCGUUAUCCGGAUGUAUUGGGUUGAAAGGGUGCGUAGGCGGAUUAGUAAGUCAGCGGUAAAUAUUCGGUGCUCAACGCCGUAUCGCCGUUGAAACUGCGGAUCUUGAGUGAGCGAGAAGUAUGCGGAAUGCGUGGUGUAGCGGUGAAAUGCAUAGAUAUCACGCAGAACUCCGAUUGCGAAGGCAGCAUACCGGCGCCCAACUGACGCUGAGGCACGAAAGCGUGGGGAUCGAACAGGAUUAGAUACCCGAGUAGUC
rnacentral:rRNA from 1 species